rnacentral:rRNA from 1 species
UACGGGGGGGGCAAGCGUUGUUCGGAAUUACUGGGCGUAAAGGGCUCGUAGGCGGCCAACUAAGUCGGACGUGAAAUCCCUCAGCUUAACUGGGGAACUGCGUCCGAUACUGGAUGGCUUGGAUUUGGGAGAGGGAUGCGGAAUUCCAAGUGUAGCGGUGAAAUGCGUAGAUAUCUGGAGGAACACCGGUGGCGAAGGCGGCAUCCUGGACCAAUAUUGACGCUGAGGAGCGAAAGCUAGGGGAGCAAACGGG